CCUACGGGUGGCAGCAGUGAGGAAUAUUGGUCAAUGGACGAGAGCCUGAACCAGCCAAGCCGCGUGAGGGAAGAAGGUCCAGCGUAUCGUAAACCUCUUUUAUCGGGGAACAAAAGCGGGUACUCGUCCCCUCAUGCGUGUACCUUAAGAAAAAGCAUCGGCUAACUCCGUGCCAGCAGCCGCGGUAAUACGGAGGAUGCGAGCGUUAUCCGGAUUUAUUGGGUUUAAAGGGUGCGCAGGCGGGCUUUUAAGUCAGCGGUAAAAGCCCGGGGCUCAACCCCGGCUAGCAGUUGAAACUGGCGGGCUGGAGUGGGAGAGAGGUAAGCGGAAUGCGAGGUGUAGCGGUGAAAUGCUUAGAUAUCGCGAAGAACCCCGAUUGCGAAGGCAGCGCACUGGACUGAAACUGACGCUGAGGCACGAAAGCGUGGGUAUCGAACAGGAUUAGAUACCCGAGUAGUC
rnacentral:rRNA from 1 species